UACGAAGGGGGCUAGCGUUGUUCGGAAUCACUGGGCGUAAAGCGCACGCAGGCGGAUCGUUAAGUCAGGGGUGAAAUCCCGAGGCUCAACCUCGGAACUGCCUUUGAUACUGGCGAUCUUCGAGUCCGGGAGAGGUGAGUGGAACUCCGAGUGUAGAGGUGAAAUUCGUAGAUAUUCGGAAGAACACCAGUGGCGAAGGCGGCUCACUGGCCCGGUACUGACGCUGAGACACGAAAGCGUGGGUAGCAAACAGG
rnacentral:rRNA from 1 species